UACGUAGGGUCCGAGCGUUGUCCGGAAUUAUUGGGCGUAAAGAGCUCGUAGGCGGUGUGUCGCGUCGGCCGUGAAAACCUGGGGCUUAACUCUGGGCGUGCGGUCGAUACGGGCAUCACUGGAGUUCGGCAGGGGAGACUGGAAUUCCUGGUGUAGCGGUGAAAUGCGCAGAUAUCAGGAGGAACACCGGUGGCGAAGGCGGGUCUCUGGGCCGAUACUGACGCUGAGGAGCGAAAGCGUGGGGAGCGAACAGG
rnacentral:rRNA from 1 species